GUGGAUUAGAUACCCUAGUAGUCCACGCCCUAAACGAUGUCUACUAGUUGUUGGUGGAGUAAAAUCCAUGAGUAACGCAGCUAACGCGUGAAGUAGACCGCCUGGGGAGUACGGUCGCAAGAUUAAAACUCAAAUGAAUUGACGGGGGCCCGCACAAGCGGUGGAUUAUGUGGAUUAAUUCGAUGCAACGCGAAAAACCUUACCUGGCCUUGACAUGUAACGAACUUUCCAGAGAUGGAUUGGUGCUCGAAAGAGAACGUUAACACAGGUGCUGCACGGCCGUCGCCAACU
rnacentral:rRNA from 1 species